CCGUUGCCUUUUAUCGUUUCUAUCACUGAUGAUCGUGAUAAGCGAUGAGAGACAAUGAUA
rnacentral:pre_miRNA from 1 species